rnacentral:lncRNA from 1 species
AAUAUUUUCUUUAAACAGUUCCAGAACAAGAUGGAGGCAAGACUUCUGUGAGACAAGUUGUGAAGUCUGAAUGUUCCAAGAUUUCUCUAAGUGAAUGGAAGAUGUUUCUCAGCACUGCUAUCACCUCCUGCUGUGCCACUGCUGAUGUCCCGCAGAAAAAGGAGGUUCCAGGAAUACUUACAACACAAAGAGAGCAAGAAAGAUGAAUCUUCUGACUCUGCUGGUUUGAAGGGCUUGGCUUCUUACAAG